CUACGGGACGCUGCAGUGGGGAAUAUUGGACAAUGGGCGGAAGCCUGAUCCAGCAAUACCGCGUGUGUGAAGAAGGCCCGAGGGUUGUAAAGCACUUUCAAUGGGGAGGAAAAAGCGAAGGUUAAUACCCUUUGAAUUGACAUUACCCAUACAAGAAGCACCGGCUAACUCCGUGCCAGCAGCCGCGGUAAUACGGAGGGUGCGAGCGUUAAUCGGAAUUACUGGGCGUAAAGCGUGCGUAGGCGGCCUGCCAAGCCAGAUGUGAAAGCCCCGGGCUCAACCUGGGAACGGCAUUUGGAACUGGUGAGCUAGAGUUAGGUAGAGGGGAGUGGAAUUUCAGGUGUAGCGGUGACAUGCGUAGAUAUCUGAAGGAACACCAGUGGCGAAGGCGGCUCCCUGGGCCCAAACUGACGCUGAGGUACGAAAGCGUGGGUAGCAAGCAGGAUUAGAUACCCGAGUAGUC
rnacentral:rRNA from 1 species